CAAAAUUUAAAAUUUUUGAAAAUUAUUCCUUCUGAAAAUAUCAUCGCGUUCUUGACCUCGAAGCUGACUGCUGAAUGCGAUUAGGAAAGAAGAUUCCUGAAGAUACACCAGACUGAUUCUGGCAAGCCGUCUGUCGUCUAGAUAUGCAGUUGUUCGUCAUGCAUGGUCAGCAAUCUUCCUCGUUCGUCCUUUCGUUUUCCUGACCACGAUGAUGACAAGCAGCUCUCAUGCUCAGGAUUCUGAAAGCUGGAGCAGCUCUGCUUACCUCGACCACUGAACUUACAACUAACUUCCAACCAAGUACAAGGCAAUAUUAUGAUGAAUCAAGCACGCUUGCCAUCAUGUCAUCAUUGCAAAGUACAUCGACAACAUAGAUUUGGUGCCGACUAUGUAUGAUGUAGAGUGUGCUCUAUGUAUCUAUACUACUGAUUGGCCUACAUUGUACUUAUGUGGGCUGAGAGUAAUCGAUUGUGCUAUAUGGCAGUUUACUUGUAUGUCAUAGAUGUUAACAUUGCACACAGCUUCUGAAAUGCUUUCUGUUGCACUGGCCUACUGCGGCCCACUGCAAAUAGAUUGUAGUGGCAUGGGCCAUGCCAUAAUUAUAGCAAGAGUACAUAACCCCCCAGAGUGUGCAACGCCUGAUCCAGCUCUGCAUAGGGUCUUGGUCGAGCGGAAUCGGAUCUUUGCGUCAUAAUACCGUACACAUCUGAGGGGAACCCAGGGAGUCGCGGGUACUCUUGGAUCAAAAACAAUGGUGCCCUGCCUCGAGACCGGCCUUGCGCUGGUGUGAAGUGUACGCAUGACAUCAGAAGAUCCGAUUCCGCUCGACCAAGACCCUACACAGAACUGGAUCGGCGUUGCACACUCUGGGGGGUUAUGUACUCUUGAUUAUAGUAGUAUACCGGUACUACACCAACAAUUUCACUGGUGCACUGUACUUACUGGUACGAGUAGAUCUACAUCAUGCACAGCCUUGUCACUGCUUUUCUCAUUUUUUAUUAAUUUACUGUACUGUACACAUUUUGGCACAGCUCUUCCACAAAGAGUUACUAGUAUUUUCUUCUGCAUACCUACUGUAUACAGUGACCUGACUGGUAACAUCUAUGGCUGUGAAAUCACAAAUUUCUGGGUUGACAGCCUCGAACCUAUACGAUUUGUUUCUAAGAACGUGCUAUAAGAAAUUUUCUAUUGAAGUAUUCUACUGUAGCUCGCAGGACAUGGAGUGCAAUUACGUAAAGUUUGGAACACCA